GAUGAACGCUGGCGGCGUGCCUAAUACAUGCAAGUCGAACGAAGCGGGGGCAGGGGAGUAACACGUGGAUAACCUCCUAUACGACUGGGAUAACUUCGGGAAACCGGUGCUAAACCGGAUACUGAGCGGUGGAUCCGCGCUGCAUUAGCUGGGUGGUAAGGUAACGGCUUACCAAGGCAACGACGCCUAGCCGACCUGAGAGGGUGAUCGGCCACACUGGAACUGAGACACGGCCCAGACUCCUACGGGAGGCAGCAGUAGGGAAUCUUCCGCAAUGGGCGAAAGCCUGACGGAGCAACGCCGCGUGAGUGAUGAAGGUCUUCGGAUCGUAAAACUCUGUUAUUAGGGAAGCGGUACCUAACCAGAAAGCCACGGCUAACUACGUGCCAGCCGCCGCGGUAAUUC
rnacentral:rRNA from 1 species